AGAAGUACCACUGCAAGGCAAACUUGUGGGGAGAGUCUUGCUGAGGCUGACACAACUCCCAGUUUGACUGAGUUAACUGGCUAAUUGGAGAGACAUGGGAAGUUGUACAUCGAAAGAGAGUAAGAGGCUUCUGAAACAGGAGGUGGAGAAAGAGAACUCUAUUCAAAAUCCAUGAACAGGAGCUUCAGCCAGCCUCAAGCAGUCAUCUGUAAUGCAGCUAAAGCAAGAAUGCAGCUGAACUUAAAGAAAAAGCAACAUUGAGCAAGAAGAAGAACAGCGUCCGGCAGAAGAGGGGGCACAAGAAAGGCACCCUGGGCAAAGGGACCCCCUGUGGGCACAGGGGGAGGUCACGUAAGAGCAUGAUGGCACCUUUGGGGUGCCGUGAGGAAU